rnacentral:lncRNA from 1 species
UUUUGCUCUGCUCUGAAACUACAAUAGGUGGUCUCACUCAACAACUUACCAGAAAAAAAAAACUCACUACAAACAGUUCCAAGGACACAUUUUGAAAUAUACACCAAAGCUAAGGAAUACAAAUCGCAGACAAAAGGUCAUAUUCGACCAAAGAGCAGAGCAGCCCUUUCUAGACAUAACAAAAUUCUUUGCACAAAUUCUCAUCAACAUCCGACCAAAAGAAUACGGAAGAGAAUAAGAAGACUCUACUACUGAUUAGCGUCGGUAGCUUGAGCGUUAUUAAUACUAGAACUAUCACUUCCUCCGCUUGUAGGUAAAGAAACAUUCCCUUGGUACAUUGCCGGUGGUGCAAACAUUGGCGGUGGUGCACAAUGGUUUUGGGCUCAAAUUCGUACAUGGCUAUCUCGUUUCUCAUGCUAGCGUGAGUUAAGGCCUUAAUGUAUGUUUUGAUGUAAUAAACAAGCAGCCCUUCUUGAAUUAAUAAAUAAACUAUUUGUAUAAAUUAUAUAUCAUUUGAUUUUAUUCCUAACAGAUUAAUAAGAAUACAGUUUCUUAUUCGUCCCACAUUGGUUGUGGUAGUCAUAAACGCUAGAGAAAUAGACUAUAAAAUAAGAGGGCCCGUUAUCGUAGAAGCCCAUACCUUUCUCGGCCUUUUGGCUAAGAUCAAGUGUAGUAUCUGUUCUUAUCAGUUUAAUAUCUGAUAUGUGAGCCAUCGGCUCACACGAUAUUAAAUUCAUUUUUUUAGGGGGAAGGUCCAUCAAGGCAGCUUGCUGUCUGGGACGCACUACUGCACGGGCCUGGCGCACCCCAUCAAAUCUAGUUAAAAUUUUACUUUUUAGGGUAACAACUAACAACGUGCAAGUAAUUAUGUUUAUUAGUUUAUCCAAAAUUGUAAAAUAAAUAGUUAAAAUGUGAGUAAACUGUAAAAAGUAGCCCUAAUCUCCAAAUACCUCAGUAAAGUUGAAAGAAAUUGCGUCUAAUGAAAAGGCUUUACAACCAUGAGUCGGUUUGGUUCCUAGAUCAUUGUAAAAUGACUCUUCGUUCAGUUGGCAACUGCGCUUUGGCAUAAUAAACGAGAGAAGAAUUGAAGCACUUCGAGUUAUGCGUCAAGUAUGAGUAUGAAAGAAGAGAAGAGACUGCGAACAAAGGGGACGUUAUUUUAUCGGAUAAUAACUGCAAAAUGAGGGACUGAGCAUGCAAGACCAUGUUGAAUAAAAGUUGGCAGAUGAUUGGUGAGUGUGGUGGAGGUCUUGGCCGGUUGAGGAGGUGAAGAGGGAGACCGAGUUUUUUUUGUUCAACUGAUUGCUCUUCUACUGUGCGCAUGACACAUUAGCUUGAGUUAAGGAUUAUUGGGUUGAUGCAAUAGACAUAGAGCAUCUAUCUGCACAUAAUUUCUGAGAAAACCAAACAGAAAUAGAAAGUUGUAAUGUCAUGAGUAUAAAUCCAAGGGGAAGAAAUGUGUGUGUUAUUUAUUAUUCAUUGCCACAGAAAGCAGCUGAAUGUUUUUUGAUCAAAUAGGCUAUUCAUUAUUGUCCCACAUCGAUAAAGAGUUCAUAUAAUGGAGAAGAGAAGUGAAUAUAAAAUGGGAAUCCCUUCUUAGAUUUUAAGUUAUGCAGCCGCGCGGUGAACACAUAGCGAACUAUUCUUUCGCCUUUUACUAAAGAAUACCGUGUGUUCGCCGCAAUUCAAGCGGCAUACGCCACUUUUUGUAGGGUGUCUCUCUAUAUUGAGUGAACCCACCAACUCUAGUUAAAUAUCUCAGUUGUGCUUUGGGGCUGUUCAUUAAAUAUUUCAGUUAUGCUUUGGGUGCGUUCAUUUUGUAGUUAUGUUUUGUUAAGGUUGUAGUCAUAAUGAAAUUUUUGAAUUUCACCAAUUUCGAUCAAAAUACAUCUAAAUUUGGAACCGCAUUUUUUUCAUUUCGAUUUUUUAUUCUUCCAAAUUUAUUUGUAAUGGAAUUGGAAGGUAUAUAAAAUUGCUGGAAAUUCCGAGUUCCGCUCCAAUUUUAUUUCUGAAUAUUUCUAUGGUGUUUCCAAAUAUAUAAUAUAAUUUUAUGAUAUAUUUUGUCAUUCAAUAUAUGUUGUAUUUUAUAUGAAAAACACAAAUACCGAAGGUUCCAGUAAAUUAAAAUCUUAGAAAAUAUUUUUUGGUAUCAGAAACGCGUUUUGUCGAACCCUCUUUUGGAUAUUCUUAUAUUUCCUGCAAAAUUAAAAAAAAAUAGAAGAAUAUUGCGAAAAUUUCCAUUUACAUCUCAAUGUGGAACAAACAAUUAUAAACUAAUGUAAUUUCUGAAAUUUUUGAAAUUCCGCUGAUUUUGAGGCAUUCUGAAAUUGGAAUGAGUUUUUGCAUUGUGAUUUUUUUGGAACGAAAAUUGAAAACCAUUUUUACUUGGGGUAACUACAUAUAAAUCCCCAAACUCAAACUUAAAGCGCGGAUCAAUCCCUACAUAUGUUUCAUAGGCGUAUCAGUCCAUAAUGCAAAGUUUAACAUGCAGUUCAAUCCCUAGGGGCAGGUGAAAAGUUUAAAAUAGUUAUUACUUUAAUCUAAAGUUAGAUAUCUUUUCCUUUUCUCUCUCUACAUUAUCUCUUUCAUCUUUUCUCUUUUUCUUUGUCUCUUCCUUGCCCGUUCCAAUUCCGCUUUCUGUUAUUUUUCUUCAAACAACAAACGAAACAAUAAGAACAAAGAAAAUGAAGAACCAAAGUAGUAGAAGAAGAAAAAAGCAAAAAGAAAAGAGGAAAGAGACACAUUUUCGAAGAAUGAUGAAGGGGAAGAAACAAGAUUUGAUUUUUUCCCAUAAUCAUUAUAUCGGUUCCAAUAUAUGUUAUUUUGUUGUUUGAGUUUGCAAAUAUCAUUAUUUAUUGUCGAAUUGCAUGAUUUUGAACACUUCCUCUCCUAAGUAUUCUUCUUCGGCGACAUUAGCAUGUCCCCAAAUCCCAAAGCAUUUUUAGUCCUAACAAAGAUUUGAUGUAUGAUGUUUGAUGACUUUGAUAUAAGAUAUGGGAAAUAGGCUUAUUGCAUUAUUCAUUGUGGUGUGCCGUAGUAUAUGCCAUAUGCAAAAAUGGUAUUGCUAGUGCAUUUGAAUGGUGUUGAAAAAGAGUAUUAUAAGUACUGGUAGUAGAACUUUAUAGUACAUUGUAUUUGUGAUAAUUGUAUUUAUGUGUAUGUAGUUGCAGGAAUUUGUCCUUUUGUUGUAGAGCUAAUAAUAUUAUCGGUUAUCUCUACUCGUACUUUUAUAUUUGCAAAAACAUUUUACCAUAUGUUUUGAUGAAUUGCACUGACCUGUUGAACACAUGGUACUAUAUUUUGUGAUGAAUUGAGUUUAUAUGGUUGACUUGGCCCCAGAAUAAUAUAAAUAAUAUAAACGUACCAUACUAAUGAACAACAAUUACUUUCUAGUUUAUUCGAAGAUACCGUAUCAACCUUAGAACUGUACUUCACAUGUGUAUUCAAUGUACUUACAUGUUUCACACAUCGAACUAUAGUUUGUGAUGAAUUGAGUUGUACCAAUUUCCUUGACACUUUAUUGAUCAAUUAGUAUGAGAGAUGCGUAAAUUAUGUUUUAGAUGAGUAUUUUAAGGUUGGUGAGCAUUAGUGUUGCGUUUGGAGUACAAGAUGUUAUAAAUAUGUUGAAUUUCAUACAUGAUACUCAUAAGUGUACAAGACACCAUGAAUUGUUGGAUAUGUUACAUGAUACUCAUAUAAGUGUAUAAGGCUCAUGUGUGGAGCUAAUAUUUUACUCAAAUGUUGCUAUAAUCGAUGUCGAUCCACUCUUACAUUGUCUCAUGUCAUGUUAAUAGUCUAAAAAUGAAGAAAUGUGUCUUAAAAUGAUAUUUUAUGGAUACAUUUGCUCCACGAUAAUAUAAAUAAUAUAGUAUGACGACAACAUAUACUUUAUGAAUGAACUCAUAGUACUAUAUGCAUGAAUAACCCUAAUUUUACCAGUUUAUACAUUGUACUUGUGGAACAAUUCAUACUAUUUUUUUUAUGAAUAGAGUUGUACCAAUUUCUCUGACACUUUAAUGAUCAAUUAGUAUAGGAGAUGCAUAAAUUAUGUCUUAGAUGAGUAUUUUAAGUUUGGUGAACAUUGGUGUUACGUUUGGAGUCCAAAGUUCCACAAAUGUUUUUGAUUUCCUACAUGAUAUUCACAUAUAUUACAAGGCUUGUAUGUAGGACUAGUAUUUUUCUCAAAUGUGACCAUAAUUAAUGUUGAUGAACACCCACGUUACUCAUUUCAAAUAAUUAGUCAUAAAAUGAAGGAAUGCCUCAUAAAAUGAGUUUAUAUUGUUGUAUUGCUCCCAAAAUAAUAUAUAUAAUGCAAGCGUAACAUAUUAACGGAGAACAUCUACUUUGUCAUUGAAAGAAGCAUACCCUACGAAUGGACAACACGUGCACCACCGGUGUAAUGCAUGUACUUUCCUGUAGAAUAAAUUGUACCAUAAUUAUAAUGAACUAAAUUGUACCAAUUUCAUAAAAAAUUUAGUGAUCAGUGAGUGUGUGAGAAACAUAAAAUAUAUUUAAUAACUAUUUUAAGAUUGAUGAACAAUGGUAUUACGAUUAGAGUUCAGAAUGCCACAAAAUACCAACAUGAUACUCACAUAGACAACACGUACUUCAACACGUAUUUAUUGAAAUCACUCAAAGAAUAUAUUAAAAAUUAAAUUAACUCAAAUUUUCUAUCUAUCCAACAGAAGCAUGAAUUUGUAUCUCAAUUUAGAACUUGGCACAUAAAAUACCAAUCAUUAACUCGGUUUAUUCAUUACCAUUGACCUUUAUACUUAUAGAAAAUUACGGUUCCAUUUGGAUGGAGGGAUUUGGAGGGGAAUUUGAAAUCCAUAAUAACAAAUCUCCUAUACUUGUUUGGAUUGAGGAAUUUGACAAGGAAUUUCAGAUCCACACCCCUCCCUUUUGAUUGAUUUUUGAGCAAUUGUGGUGGAUUUCAAAUAACUCCAAAUCGGUUCCCCAAAUCAAAUCACCCUCUAAAUUCAAAUGGACCAAAUGGACCCUGUAUGUUUUUGCUCUGCUCUGAAACUACAAUAGGUGGUCUCACUCAACAACUUACCAGAAAAAAACUCACUACAAACAGUUCCAAGGCACAUUUUGAAAUAUACAUCAAAGCUAAGGAAUACAAAUCGCAGACAAAAGGUGAUAUUCGACCAAAGAGCAGAGCAGCCCUUUCUAAACAUAACAAAAUUCUUUGCACAAAUUCUCAUCAACAUCCGACCAAAAGAAUACGGAAGAGAAUAAGAAGACUCUACUACUGAUUAGCGUCGGUAGCUUGAGCGUUAUUAAUACUAGAACUAUCACUUCCUCCGCUUGUAGGUAAAGAAACAUUCCCUUGAUACAUUGGCGGUGGUGCAAACAUUGGCGGUGGUGCACCCCCACUUGGCAUUCCAGGAAUCAUCGGAGGAGGGGGUGGAAGCCCCCCUGGUCUUUGUAGACCAUUCAUCUGACCUGGCAUAGGAGCUCCCGGUGGUAGCACCAUUUGCGGCAUCUGAGGUGGCGCAU